rnacentral:rRNA from 1 species
CCUACGGGGGGCAGCAGUGGGGAAUAUUGGACAAUGGGGGCAACCCUGAUCCAGCCAUGCCGCGUGUGUGAAGAAGGCCCUCGGGUUGUAAAGCACUUUCAGUGAGGAAGAACGCCUGGUGGUUAAUACCCAUCAGGAAAGACAUCACUCACAGAAGAAGCACCGGCUAACUCCGUGCCAGCAGCCGCGGUAAUACGGAGGGUGGAGCGUUAAUCGGAAUUACUGGGCGUAAAGCGCGCGUAGGUGGCUUGAUAAGCCGGUUGUGAAAGCCCCGGGCUCAACCUGGGAACGGCAUCCGGAACUGUCAAGCUAGAGUGCAGGAGAGGAAGGUAGAAUUCCCGGUGUAGCGGUGAAAUGCGUAGAGAUCGGGAGGAAUACCAGUGGCGAAGGCGGCCUUCUGGACUGACACUGACACUGAGGUGCGAAAGCGUGGGUAGCAAACAGGAUUAGAUACCCCGGUAGUC